rnacentral:rRNA from 1 species
UACGUAGGUGGCAAGCGUUGUCCGGAAUUAUUGGGCGUAAAGCGCGCGCAGGCGGCCUUUUAAGUCUGAUGUGAAAGCCCCCGGCUCAACCGGGGAAGGUCAUUGGAAACUGAGAGGCUUGAGUACAGAAGAGGAAGGCGGAAUUCCACGUGUAGCGGUGAAAUGCGUAGAGAUGUGGAGGAACACCAGUGGCGAAGGCGGCUUUCUGGUCUGUAACUGACGCUGAGGCGCGAAAGCGUGGGGAGCAAACAGG